rnacentral:sRNA from 1 species
UACGAUGCUUGGCAGCGAUGUGUCCUG